CGAAAGUUCGACCGUGAAACAACACUCGUGAUCGUAGAUGACGUGAAUGACUUGCAUUUAUUUCGCUUUGAUGAUCAAGCACGUUAGCAGCUACUCACCGAGGUUUUUACCUUUGAGACCGUUCGCGCACCUUUGAACCAAUACGUCCGUAAAUUGAUGGUAAACUGAAAAUGUUGGAGGAAUUCACAUAUAAAAAAUGACAAUCAUUAGGUUUACAUUACAUAUUUAUGAGUUAAUUAUGUAAGGAUUGAGAAAUGAAGAGGUUAUAGGUUGAAGCUUUUAGGAGUUUGAAAUUGGGAAAAUGAGAGACCACGUUUAUUUUGAGACAAUAUAUUUAUUUCUUAUUAAUAUGGAGUUUUCAACAAUAACAGUAUAAUAGUAGGCGUAACAAGAGAGACGAGGUAGGUUACGAGGAACCUAACCUAAUACCGUACGCCAACAAGUCACCGCCGUAACAGAAUCUCUGUGAUUUAUUAUACGACUACUUCGUGUAAUCCUUUACUUUAUGAUUUUACAAUACUUAUUUCGUUUCCUUAAAGUUGCAUUGUGCUUAAGUUAUAAUUUAUGCAACUUUAAUGCAACGUAAGUAGCAAUUGGUCUACCAAAUUAAAGACCUUUUUAAAGUAAUGGUUAGUUCUUGAUAAGUAUUUAUGAAUUAGAUCUUAUUAGUUUUUACUCGUAUUAGCAAAACGAAAGAGUAGUACAGAAGUACCUAUAUUGAGCCUCAAGAAUUUUUUUAGCAUUGCAUUCUAUGCAGUUGAGAAGUUUACUAUUAAAUCUCCACAAUGUACAAAGUUCCAUUGUAAUUGUUGAAAAAAUAAAUUUCAAAGAUAGUAGGAACCUUGUUCUGUGAAUUGAGACAUUAUUCUAUGCAUAGAAUUCAAUGAACAAGUCCUCAGUAUUUGAUACUUCCUAUUUGUUAAUUUGUCAGUAUAUUCUGUACUUAUAUUGGAAAUGUUCUCAUACCUAAGCAACAAAUCCAAAUAUCUUGUGAAUUUGAGAGAAUAUCUUUUUCUUGACUUAUUUGCGAUGUAUAGUUAAUGUCUGUUUUUCAUUGAGAAGUUUUAAUUGUUUUUAAGAGAGCCCUGAAGAAUGCAUUAUAUUUAAUGCGAUAAUAUUAUUUGGCAGGACCUUAAAAUCAAUAUAACAAUAGUUGAAAUUAUGGCAGUGUUUUAUAGUAUAGAAUAAUCUUAUUGCCAUUAAACGUGGAAAUAACGUGUUAAGGCUAUUAGAAUGUUAUUAAUACUUUAAUUACUAGUUAUCUCUAAUAACUGAAUCAUACAAAUUUAUAUUAGAUUUAUUAUCAAGCAAUAAAUGUUCCUUUUCUUUUAAAGUUCAAAUUUUCGAAAGUUUGAAUUUUAAAUCUGUUAUUUUUAUGGACAUUAUUGAUGAGAACAAUGAGAACACUUCAUGAUAUUAAUUUAGAGAAUGGAAAGAAAAGAGCACUAAAAGAUCCAGAAGUUUUAAUUAACUAAGGGGAAUUCUCUAAAUUCUACAUUAAAUAGGCCGAUUCAAUUUUUUUGAUUAUCGCAUGUAAUAAUUUUCAGAAUAUUUGAUUUGUAAUUGAAUAAUAAAGAUAGAAGUACAGAUGAAUUUUGCUCUGAUCUUUCCAUAAAAUGCUCACAUUAUACAGGUUCUUGUUGGCGCACAAUGAAGUAGGGGGCUCGACCUUUAAUUCAGUGCAAUAAUGCCUCUUCAGGUAUCUAGAGUAGAAGACACAUAUGUACAAAGACUUUCAAAAGACAGGUUUCUUUUUUCUCUUUUUUUAUGCAUUUUGGAAUAAAUUGGAGAAAAGAAUAUAUAUGAUCACUACUGAACUAAAUUACCGGCAGAACCCACUUAUUAAAGAAUGUUACAGCUAUUAAUUAAUGUAAUAAGUCUAUCUUUGAUUUAGUUAGGCUUGGGUGACUCUAAACUGGCCCCCUAUAUCUUUGUAUUUUGAUUACUUCCUGAAUCUGCUAUUGCAAGCAAGCCAGUCGUUUUUCUUUGUUAUUCAAUUGAAAGAAAUUUAUGGAAAUUAUCUUUAUUGUUUGUAACACAAUGAUAUUUGUCUUUGUUUCCUCAUCAUCAUGUAUGAAAUAUUCUCGAAAGUCUGUUAGCUAAAAAAUGACAGGUGUAAACAUGUAGGUGCUGACAGUGUAAAUGGUAAAACAAAUGUAGUUACUUGUAAGUUGGGACACUUUCAUUGGUAGAAGUUACACUUGUUAUACAUCAGAUUGAGGAUUCAGUAGUUGUAUGUAGUCAGCCUGCGAACAACUUAUGUUGUCUUAUAGAGUCUCUGAAGCAUAGUCUGAAUUUAGUGAAAUGUAUUUUUGAAUUUCAAGGAUGAUAACUAACAUGCAUUUGUGAGAGUCUCUAUCUCGUUAGACUUUCAAGAAUUUCAGUUACGAGUGUCGGAUACAGUGCCUAACGAGAAAACUAUGAAACUAAAUCGCUAUCCUCUAUGUAUAAUUUAUAAUUAUAUAGCGAAUUGCUCGAUAAUACGAUUAAACGCUAUAUCCUUUGACGAAAAAAAGGAAGAAGAAAGUAUAAAGGAAGAGGAAAAGAACAUUUUGAGAUAGAGAGUGUAUAUAUGUGCGUGUUCAAUUCCAAUGAUCCGUGGAUGCGUGUGUGCAAUUCCUGCAUAAAUUUUUCUUCACCUAUCAGUCUAAUAAUUGGUGGAAGGUUAUUGCACAGUAAACACACGAUUUCUUCCACUAUCAGUGAAUGAAAUUACAAAUAGAAUGAUUAAUGUGUGCAUACAAUUAUCGUCGUUAAAUGUUUGCUGAUAGAAUUUCAUUCCAUAUAAUGGUAUACCAGCUUUCGGUAAAAAAGUGACUCGUCCGAUUAAAAUUUCGUCCGCCUUUCAAUAUAUUUUAUUAUUCAUUCUUUUAUUUUGAAUGAGAUAAUUUUUAAUAAGAUUAUGUAUUUUUUUCUUUUAGUAAAUGGUCAUUCUACGCUGAGAGUUCUACGGGCGAGUCUCUCCUUUUCUCUCCUCCCAUGAGAGAAAUACUAGAAGGUUUAUGGCAGUAUGUGAGUCAGCAAAAUUCCGUAGACCAGCGAUUCUCAGCUUUCACUUAUUUCUAUUCAUUGUCGAUUCUUCCUACUUUAAUAUAUGCCAUUGUCUUAUGCGGCCGUUCGAAUCUCCAUCACCAAUUUGUUUCAGAUGGCAAACUGAAAGAUGUCGAUGAGUCAUCUACGAAUGAUUAAAAGGAAUUUGAGAAAUACGGCAGUGUACGAUAUCUAAUAAUCAUAUUAUAAUUUUAAGAGAGACUCGCCCAGACCGACAGCCUCUGUAGAGUUAAAAUGCCAACAAGAAAAUACUUUAGUUACUCAUUUAAGUCGCUACUCGUUAAGACAAUCUACUAAAGUUUUAUAGCACUUUUUUUCCAUUUUUUUAUCAACAUACUCUAUCAGUAUUAUCAAUGUACGUAACAACAUGAACAGAUAAAGAGAUUUCACUCUUU